GGGCGGGAGGGGUUUUUUUUUUUGGUUUUGGAGAGAGACGGGGGUGGCUGUAAAUUAAGUUUCUCAAUAAUCUCUAUUGGAGUGGAUAUAUCAAAAUUGUGGAGAAGUUGAGUGACCUUCAUCUAUACCUAUUAGUUAUUUCCUUUAGUGUAUAUGAAGCAUGCUAAUUUGAUGAAUAAGUAUUAGUUGUUCUUGGAUUGUAGAAAGUGAAAAAGGAGAAGAAACAAAAGAGAAUAUGGAAGAAG
rnacentral:misc_RNA from 1 species